rnacentral:lncRNA from 1 species
AUGGGGAAAAAGCAGAAGAAAUCCGGGGACGACAGCGCCAAAGACGAUGGCGUGGACAUCGACGCGCUCGCCGCCGAGAUCGAAGGAGCCGGAGCCUCCAAAGAGCCCAAAGGGAAGAAGAAGAAGAAGGGAGUGAAGAAGGAUGAGUUUGAUGAGGAUGACAUCCUGAAGGAGCUGGAGGAGUUGUCUCUGGAGACUCAGGGAGUGAAAGCAAAGGCUGCAGCGCCUCCCAUUGCGCCUCCUUCCAACUCAGACGAGGACAGCGUCUCGCGCUCUCGCGUCAAAGCCAAAGACGGAAAAAAGGGAGGCAAACAAGCAUCGGGGUCGGAUGGCGAGGAAGACAGAGACGAAGAUGAGGGUCUGAAGAAGAAAGGAGGAGGAGGAGGGAAGGAGGAGGAGGAGGGGUCAGAGGCGGAAGAGAGGGAAGCAGCUUUUGGCCGAGACAGGAAGAAGAAGAUCAGAGGCAAAGCGGUGAAGAUGGAGAGCGAGGAUGAGGAGGAGCAGGAUGGCGAGGAUGGGGCCAGCGGCUUCAAGAUGAAGACGGCGGCGCAGAAAAAGGCGGAGAAGAAGGAGAGGGACCGCAAGAAGAAGGAGGAGGAGAGGAUGAAGCAGAGGAAGCUGAAGGAGAAAGAGAAGGAGGGCAGCGUGGAGCCGGAGAAGAAGACGGCCGAGGUCCCGCCUCCUCAGGAAGAUCCACCAAUAGCAGCGGCCGAGGAACAGGAAGGGGCGGAGCCAGAAGGUGAGAAACCGUUCCCUGUCACCAACAGAGAUAACGUAGACACAGGCUAAUUACUGAUCACUAAAAUGAUAGUUAACAUUAGUAAUUAAACUUAAA